GUGGGUAUAGCUCAAUUGGAUAGAGCGUUAGACUGUGGCUCUAAAGGUUGCGGGUUCGAUCCCCGUUACCCACC
rnacentral:tRNA from 1 species